AUUGAACGCUGGCGGCAUGCUUUACACAUGCAAGUCGAGCGGCAGCGCGGGGGCAACCCUGGCGGCGAGCGGCGAACGGGUGAGGAAUACAUCGGAACGUACCCGAGAGUGGGGGAUAACGCCGCGAAAGCGGCGCUAAUACCGCAUAUUCUCCGAGGAGGAAAGUGGGGGACCGCAAGGCCUCACGCUCACGGAGCGGCCGAUGUCGGAUUAGCUAGUUGGUGGGGUAAAGGCCCACCAAGGCGACGAUCCGUAGCUGGUCUGAGAGGAUGAUCAGCCACACUGGGACUGAGACACGGCCCAGACUCCUACGGGAGGCAGCAGUGGGGAAUUUUGGACAAUGGGGGCAACCCUGAUCCAGCCAUGCCGCGUGCGGGAAGAAGGCCUCGG
rnacentral:rRNA from 1 species